CACGGAGUUAGCCGAUCCUUAUUCUUACGAUACCGUCAAGCUCCUAUACAUAGGAGUGUUUCUUCUCGUACAAAAGCAGUUUGCAAUCCAUAGGACCGUCAUCCUGCACGCGGCAUGGCUGGAUCAGGCUUGCGCCCAUUGUCCAAUAUUCCUCACUGCUGCCUCCCGUAGGAGUCUGGUCCGUGUCUCAGUACCAGUGUGGGGGAUCUCCCUCUCACGGACCCCUACCCAUCGUUGCCUUGGUAAGCCGUUACCUUACCAACUAGCUAAUGGGACGCAUGCUCAUCUUUCACCGUUGUGACUUUAAUAAUUAAACCAUGCGGUCCGAUUAUACUAUGAGGUAUUAAUCCAAAUUUCUCUGGCUAUCCCUCUGUGAAGGCAGAUUGCAUACGCGUUACGCACCCGUGCCGCCGGUCUCUAUCUACCGAAGAAUACUACCCCUCGACUUGCAGUGUAGUUAACGCCUCGCCGCUAGUCGUU
rnacentral:rRNA from 1 species